GGACGAACGCUGGCGGCGUGCUUAACACCUGCAAGUGGAGCGACGAACCAGGGCUUGCCCUGGGGCAGAGCCGCGAACGGGUGAGUAACACGUGGGUAACGUGCCCCGAUGAUCGGGACAACCCGGGGAAACCCGGGCUAAUACCGAAUGUGCUCCCCUCACACCAGUGAGGGAUGGAAAGGAAGCUUCGGCCUCCGCAUCGGGAUCGGCCCGCGGCCCAUUAGCUUGUUGGUGAGGUAACGGCUCACCAAGGCUGCGAUGGGUAGCUGGUCUGAGAGGACGAUCAGCCACACUGGGACUGAGACACGGCCAGACUCCUACGGGAGGCAGCAGUGGGGAAUCUUGCGCAAUGCGCGAAAGCGUGACGCAGCAACGCCGCGU
rnacentral:rRNA from 1 species